AUUGAACGCUGGCGGCAUGCCUUACACAUGCAAGUCGAACGGCAGCAUGGAGAGCUUGCUCUCUGAUGGCGAGUGGCGAACGGGUGAGUAAUAUAUCGGAACGUACCUUAUUGUGGGGGAUAACGCAGCGAAAGCUGUGCUAAUACCGCAUAAUCCCUAAGGGGGAAAGCGGGGGACCGUAAGGCCUCGCGCAAUUAGAGCGGCCGAUACCUGAUUAGCUAGUUGGUGAGGUAAAGGCUCACCAAGGCAACGAUCAGUAGCUGGUCUGAGAGGACGAUCAGCCACACUGGGACUGAGACACGGCCCAGACUCCUACGGGAGGCAGCAGUGGGGAAUUUUGGACAAUGGGGGCAACCCUGAUCCAGCAAUGCCGCGUGAGUGAAGAAGGCCUUCGGGUUGUAAAGCUCUUUUGUCAGGGAAGAAACAGCAGCUCUAACACAGUUUGCGAAUGACGGUACCUGAAGAAUAAGCACCGGCUAACUACGUGCCAGCAGCCGCAGUAA
rnacentral:rRNA from 1 species